GAUAAAGAUGUAUCUGUACAAAGUUAGGGAUAGUUUCUGUUAUAAAAGGUGCAGAUCCAUCAACAUAAGUCCAUAUACAAGGAGUGUUAAUCCAUGCAUCUCCAUCAAAUAUUACAGAAAGGCCAAUGUUUGGACAAGGUGGCUAAUGAUUGAAUCUUAGUAUUAACAUAUCUCAAUAUUGUACAGAAGUUUAAACCUACUUUGUGAGAAUAGUUGGGAAAAAAACUAUUUUAUACUUAGGUAAUUAGCAUCAAUCCAUAGGUAAUUAUCAUCCACGAUUUGGACCAGUAAUUGGUAAUUCAAAACACACAGAAACAAGAAGUGGAAGACGGUUUCAGAUCAUAGUGUGAUAGCUGAUAAAGAUGCAUCUGUACAAAGUUAGGGAUAGUUUCUGUUAUAAAAGGUGCAGAUCCAUCAAUAUAAGUCCAUAUACAAGGAGUGUACAGAUCUGUGCAUCUCCAUCAAAUAUUACAGAAAGGCCAAUGUUUGGACAAGGUGGCUAAUGAUUGAAUCUUAGUAUUAACGUAUCUCAAUAUUGUACAGAAGUUUAAACCUACUUUGUGAGAAUAGUUGGGAAAAAAAACUAUUUUAUACUUGGGCUAGCCAAUAUCAGCAGGUAGAGAACUUAC
rnacentral:lncRNA from 1 species